rnacentral:rRNA from 1 species
UUUUUCCACCGGAGCUUGCUCCACCGGAAAAAGAAGAGUGGCGAACGGGUGAGUAACACGUGGGUAACCUGCCCAUCAGAAGGGGAUAACACUUGGAAACAGGUGCUAAUACCGUAUAACAAUCGAAACCGCAUGGUUUUGAUUUGAAAGGCGCUUUCGGGUGUCGCUGAUGGAUGGACCCGCGGUGCAUUAGCUAGUUGGUGAGGUAACGGCUCACCAAGGCCACGAUGCAUAGCCGACCUGAGAGGGUGAUCGGCCACAUUGGGACUGAGACACGGCCCAAACUCCUACGGGAGGCAGCAGUAGGGAAUCUUCGGCAAUGGACGAAAGUCUGACCGAGCAACGCCGCGUGAGUGAAGAAGGUUUUCGGAUCGUAAAACUCUGUUGUUAGAGAAGAACAAGGAUGAGAGUAACUGUUCAUCCCUUGACGGUAUCUAACCAGAAAGCCACGGCUAACUACGUGCCAGCAGCCGCGGUAAUACGUAGGUGGCAAGCGUUGUCCGGAUUUAUUGGGCGUAAAGCGAGCGCAGGCGGUUUCUUAAGUCUGAUGUGAAAGCCCCCGGCUCAACCGGGGAGGGUCAUUGGAAACUGGGAGACUUGAGUGCAGAAGAGGAGAGUGGAAUUCCAUGUGUAGCGGUGAAAUGCGUAGAUAUAUGGAGGAACACCAGUGGCGAAGGCGGCUCUCUGGUCUGUAACUGACGCUGAGGCUCGAAAGCGUGGGGAGCAAACAGGAUUAGAUACCCUGGUAGUCCACGCCGUAAACGAUGAGUGCUAAGUGUUGGAGGGUUUCCGCCCUUCAGUGCUGCAGCUAACGCAUUAAGCACUCCGCCUGGGGAGUACGACCGCAAGGUUGAAACUCAAAGGAAUUGACGGGGGCCCGCACAAGCGGUGGAGCAUGUGGUUUAAUUCGAAGCAACGCGAAGAACCUUACCAGGUCUUGACAUCCUUUGACCACUCUAGAGAUAGAGCUUCCCCUUCGGGGGCAAAGUGACAGGUGGUGCAUGGUUGUCGUCAGCUCGUGUCGUGAGAUGUUGGGUUAAGUCCCGCAACGAGCGCAACCCUUAUUGUUAGUUGCCAUCAUUUAGUUGGGCACUCUAGCAAGACUGCCGGUGACAAACCGGAGGAAGGUGGGGAUGACGUCAAAUCAUCAUGCCCCUUAUGACCUGGGCUACACACGUGCUACAAUGGGAAGUACAACGAGUCGCGAAGUCGCGAGGCUAAGCUAAUCUCUUAAAGCUUCUCUCAGUUCGGAUUGUAGGCUGCAACUCGCCUACAUGAAGCCGGAAUCGCUAGUAAUCGCGGAUCAGCACGCCGCGGUGAAUACGUUCCCGGGCCUUGUACACACCGCCCGUCACACCACGAGAGUUUGUAACACCCGAAGUCGGUGAGGUAAC